UACGUAGGCAGCAAGCGUUGUUCGGAAUUACUGGGCGUAAAGAGUGUGUAGGCGGUGCUCUAAGUCUGUUGUGAAAUCUCCCGGCUUAACCGGGAGGGUGCGGCGGAAACUGGAGUGCUUGAGGGUGGGAGAGGUAAGCGGAAUUCCUGGUGUAGCGGUGAAAUGCGUAGAUAUCGGGAGGAACACCCGCGGUGUAGACGGCCUGCUGGACCACGACUGACGCUGAGGCACGAAAGCGUGGGGAGCAAACAGG
rnacentral:rRNA from 1 species